rnacentral:piRNA from 2 species
GCUUUACCAGUUCUUUUGACAGUUCU